AAUCCUGAUUCUCAAUCAUAGAGUCCCAAACAUGUAGGACUCAGAGUCUCCGAGCAUUAGGACUCUUGGUCGAAGAGUCCCAAUCCAGUGGGACUCUUCACCAGCCAUCAGAUCAGAUAGGAACUUCUAAUGUGUGUGACCCCGCAGGUUCGAACCUAAGCCGGUAACACAGGAACCAAUUUUUGUACUAAUCGAAAUGACCAUCUAGCAAUGGUACCCGACAUCCAGAUAGGUCAAAUAGUCGCAAUCACAAUAAUCAGAACCUAUGCAAAUAUGGUUACUGUAUAAUUCAUCCCUUUUGACCCCUGUGUAUAGGAUGACUCAGGGUUAAACUAUCAACCCUGAUC
rnacentral:lncRNA from 1 species